GAAGGGACCUCCGUAGUUCGGAAUUACUGGGCUUAAAGAGCUCGUAGGUGGUUAAAAAAGUUGAUGGUGAAAUCCCAAGGCUCAACCUUGGAACUGCCAUCAAAACUUUUUAGCUAGAGUGUGAUAGAGGUAAGUGGAAUUUCUAGUGUAGAGGUGAAAUUCGUAGAUAUUAGAAAGAACACCAAAUGCGAAGGCAACUUACUGGGUCACUACUGACACUGAGGAGCGAAAGCAUGGGUAGCGAAGAGGAUUAGAUACCCUCGUAGUCCAUGCCGUAAACGAUGUGUGCUAGACGUUGGAAAUAUAUUUUCAGUGUCGCAGCGAAAGCAUUAAGCACACCGCCUGGGGAGUACGACCGCAAGGUUAAAACUCAAAUGAAUUGACGGGGACCCGCACAAGCAGUGGAGCAUGUGGUUUAAUUCGAAGAUACGCGCAGAACCUUACCAACACUUGACAUGUUCGUCGCGAGACUAAGAGAUUAGUCUUUUCAGUUUGGCUGGACGAAACACAGGUGCUGCAUGGCUGUCGUCAGCUCGUGUCGUGAGAUGUUGGGUUAAGUCCCGCAACGAGCGCAACCCUUACUUUUAGUUGCCACCAUUA
rnacentral:rRNA from 1 species